UACGUAGGGUGCAAGCGUUGUCCGGAAUUAUUGGGCGUAAGGAGCUCGUAGGCGGUCAGUCGCGUCUGCUGUGAAAACUCGGGGCUUAACCCCGGGCCUGCAGUGGGUACGGGCUGACUAGAGUGCGGUAGGGGAGACUGGAAUUCCUGGUGUAGCGGUGAAAAUGCGCAGAUAUCAGGAGGAACACCGGUGGCGAAGGCGGGUCUCUGGGCCGAUACUCGUGAGGAGCGAAAAGCGUGGGGGAGCGAACAGG
rnacentral:rRNA from 1 species